GAACGCCCGUAGCAAUACGGGAGUGGCAGACGGGAGAGUAACACGUGGGAACGUGCCCUUCAGUUCGGAACAACCCAGGGAAACUUGGGCUAAUACCGGAUACGUCCGCAAGGAGAAAGAUUUAUCGCUGAAGGAUCGGCCCGCGUCUGAUUAGCUAGUUGGUGGGGUAAUGGCUCACCAAGGCGACGAUCAGUAGCUGGUCUGAGAGGAUGAUCAGCCUCACUGGGACUGAGACACGGCCCAGACUCCUACGGGAGGCAGCAGUGGGGAAUCUUGGACAAUGGGCGCAAGCCUGAUCCAGCCAUGCCGCGUGAGUGAUGAAGGCCUUCGGGUUGUAAAGCCCUUUUGUUGGGGACGAAAUCGUACGGGCGAAUAUCCCGUGCGGAUGACGGUACCCAAAGAAUAAGCACCGGCUAACUUCGUG
rnacentral:rRNA from 1 species